rnacentral:rRNA from 1 species
GACGAACGCUGGCGGCAUGCCUAACACAUGCAAGUCGAGCGAGUAGAUCCCUUCGGGGUGAAGCUAGCGGCGGACGGGUGAGUAACACGUGGGCAACCUGCCUCAUAGAGGGGAAUAGCCUUCCGAAAGGAAGAUUAAUACCGCAUAAGAUUGUAGUCCCGCAUGGUCUAGCAAUUAAAGGAGCAAUCCGCUAUGAGAUGGGCCCGCGGCGCAUUAGCUAGUUGGUGAGGUAACGGCUCACCAAGGCGACGAUGCGUAGCCGACCUGAGAGGGUGAUCGGCCACAUUGGGACUGAGACACGGCCCGGACUCCUACGGGAGGCAGCAGUGGGGAAUAUUGCACAAUGGGGGAAACCCUGAUGCAGCAAUGCCGCGUGAGUGAUGACGGCCUUCGGGUUGUAAAGCUCUGUCUUCGGGGACGAUAAUGACGGUACCCGAGGAGGAAGCCACGGCUAACUACGUGCCAGCAGCCGCAGUAA